rnacentral:rRNA from 1 species
CCUACGGGAGGCAGCAGUGAGGAAUAUUGGUCAAUGGGCGUAAGCCUGAACCAGCCAAGUCGCGUGAGGGAUGAAGGUUCUAUGGAUCGUAAACCUCUUUUAUAAGGGAAUAAAGUGCGGGACGUGUCCCGUUUUGUAUGUACCUUAUGAAUAAGGAUCGGCUAACUCCGUGCCAGCAGCCGCGGUAAUACGGAGGAUCCGAGCGUUAUCCGGAUUUAUUGGGUUUAAAGGGUGCGUAGGCGGCCUUUUAAGUCAGCGGUGAAAGUCUGUGGCUCAACCAUAGAAUUGCCGUUGAAACUGGGAGGCUUGAGUAUGUUUGAGGCAGGCGGAAUGCGUGGUGUAGCGGUGAAAUGCUUAGAUAUAACUUAGAACUCCGAUAGCGAAGGCAGCUUACCAGACUGCGACUGACGCUGAAGCACGAGAGCGUGGGUAGCGAACAGGAUUAGAUACCCUAGUAGUC